rnacentral:lncRNA from 1 species
UUUGUGUUGGUGUGGUUGUGUUGUUACAACCUGGAGGGAAGGCUUUUGCAUUGUGUUGCCAAGUUUCGUAUUUCUGGGGCGUUUAGUGUUUCUAUGCAAGAAGAUUAAUGGACCCAAAUCUCACAUUAGAAACAGGAAUCCUCAUAAUCCAGAUGGUAACUUUCCUGGGCACACUGUAAGGGAUUUGCAGGUUGUGAUCCCUGGACCAGGAAAUUACAAAGAAAGACUAAAAAGAGAAACUGCUAAUUUAUUAGCAGAAAUAUGAAUAAAGACAAUGGCUGACGUACAUAUAAUAUUACAAGUUCUCACUACUGCACAUAUAACAAAAGAGAGAGUUUUGUUUUUUAUUAAUUUUUUAACGCAUGCAAACAACAUGAGAGAGAUUUUUGAUCUUUGAGAAACUGACUUUUGGUAAGCAGAUUUAUUGCUUUUACACAUCAAUAAAAAUAACCACUAUAAAGAUCUGAAAGCCUUUUGAAAAUUUAGGACAAGUGACAUGAUUUACAUUUGUUCUGGUCGCUAUUAUGUUCUAUCCAAUGAUUUAUGCCUGAAGCCUUAAUAACACUUGGUACAGGUUCUGUAGAAAUGGGUUUAUAUCUAUGAAAGCUCAGGUGAAAAUGUAGCAGUUUUAGGCUCCUUCCACACAGCUGUAUAAAAUCCACAUUGAACUAGAUUAUAUGGCAGUGUGGACUCAGAUAACCCAGUUUAAAGCAGAUAUUUUGGAUUAUCUGCCUUGUUAUUCUGGGCCACAUUUCUCUCUCCCCCCCCCCCCCUU